rnacentral:tRNA from 1 species
CCGCGGCCGAGCCGCGGGCCGGCGGCGCGGGCGUUGACGGCCAGGCGCUGCGUGAUGCCGAAGCGCUCGGCGGUCGCGGCGUCGGCCUCGACC